AACGAACGCUGCCGGCAGGCUUAACACAUGCAAGUCGAGCGCCCCGCGAGGGGAGCGGCCGACGGGUGAGUAACGCGUGGGAACGUACCCUUUGCUUCGGAAUAGCUCCCGGAAACUGGGAUUAAUACCGUAUGUGCCCUAGGGGGGAAAGAUUUAUCGGCAAAGGAUCGGCCCGCGUUGGAUUAGCUAGUUGGUGGGGUAAUGGCCUACCAAGGCGACGAUCCAUAGCUGGUCUGGGAGGAUGAGCAGCCACAUUGGGACUGAGACACGGCCCAAACUCCUACGGGAGGCAGCAGUGGGUAAUAUUGGACAAUGGGCGCAAGCCUGAUCCAGCCAUGCCGCGUGAGUGAUGAAGGCCUUAGGGUUGUAAAGCUCUUUCACCGGAGAAGAUAAUGACGGUAUCCGGAGAAGAAGCCCCGGCUAACUUCGUGCCAGCAGCCGCCGUAAGAC
rnacentral:rRNA from 1 species